rnacentral:sRNA from 1 species
UUUAAUUACAAUUCUACCACCUAUAAAGAAGAAGAAAAAAAC